UUAAUUGUUUGAAUUAUGGAUUUUGAUGAUUUAUUUUAUGGCUACGUGUUGGCGGAGUAUGUCUUCUUGAGUUAGGGGUAUAGAGGGAUGAUAGAAGUAAGUAGAAUAAUUUAGAAUUGUUUUGAUAAUUAAAAGUAAUGUUUUAUUUAUUUUUAUUAUAUUAAUUAGUGAAGAUAGAAUAAUUGGGUCAAAUAUGAGAAAUUGAGAAAGUUAGUG
rnacentral:lncRNA from 1 species